AAAAAACUUCAUGAAAAAUAUUUUCACAGUCAAAUUACUUUCAGGAAACAAAUGGGUCUUAGAAAUGAUAUAAUGCAAAUUAAUUUUAAUCUUGCAACUUCAACUGGCGAUUCCGUACUACACCGAACCACCAGCCAGGUCUGCCACGGGCAGUUCAAUAAUGCAGAAUGGAGGUAUGCAAGAAUUUUCCUCAAAAGAACAUUGAUAUCAUAUGCUGCCUCAGAAAAAGAAAACGGGAAAAAGGACAGACCUUAAGAUGCCAUGUACAAAAAUCCAAGAAACCAGAAAAAGAUGGAUUGCGAGAAGGAAAUUGAGGGAAAAGAAAGAAAGAAAGAUGAUGUUGUUUCUUUUAUGUGAAGCAAGAGAGAGGGCAGAGAAAAGGCCGUAAGGGAGAGUCGCUUUCAAAAGGCGUGGGCAGUGGUGGUGGCAUAUAAAGGAUCUAAUCUAUCAAGACAAUCCAGAGACUACCACCCUGGAACUAUAACCAACUAUUCUAACUGCUAGCCAAGUGGUAAAAAUCUUAAAAGAACCGAAUGAGAUAGAGAUUGUGAAGAUAAAGAACAAAGACUAGAAAUGAGAAAGAAAUGGUUUGAGAGAGAGUUGAAACUUGGAGCUACCUGGCCCUUGAUUGAAUGAGGAGGGUUUUGGGUUUGUGGAUUUGGUUAGGGUAGUACAAAGAACGGCAGGAGCAAGCAGAAGCAGCGGAUGCAGUGGUGAGAUCACAGAAAUCUUUAAUCUCUUUUCUGACCAAACACUAUUACUAUCCUUGUUACUGGUAUCAUCAUCCAUAGCUCCUGUCCUAGGUCAAGGGAAAUUGAGAAUUCCUCUCUUCCCCUGUAGAAUUAGUACCCUAUACAUUUACUGUUCUGUUCUCUAGCACUAUCCCCACCUCCCCUGACCUUAUUUUCUUUCUAGAAUCUAUGAAAGUGGUGCAGGAGAUUUCCCAAGAAGACGCCUUUUGAGAAAUUGGGUGUAUUUCUGGGUUUUCUAGGUCUAGUGGGUAUUGCCUAUAUAAUCAUUUCAAUUAGUGCAUAGUACAUAAAGAGAGGCCCAAUUACCAAAAGCUUAGUAGAGAGAGAGAGAGAGAGAGAGAGAGAGAGAGAGAGAAGGAAAGAGAUGGGUUAGGUUGCAAAUAGAGCGGGAGGGUUCUGAGUUGGUUUUCAGUUUCGGGUGGUGGCGUUGGGUGUCAUGGAAGUGGAAAUAUUGAAUGGCCGGGCCUUUUGGGAGAGGCAGCAGCAGAAGCAGGUAUCAGAGUGGUGGCAGCAGUUGCACAAGCAGCAAGAGGAGAUUAGGAAGCAGAGACAAAGACAGAGCAGUAAAGAAACAACCACCACCCACUAAAGAAAAGUGCCCUCUAUUAAAAGCAGGAACAGAAAAAGCACAAGGGCCUGAGUCUGGAUCCUCAAAGGAAUCAUCAUCACCUUCACAAUUGUCAUCAACAUCAAGAAAUCAUAGCGCUAAAUUCAAGACAUGUAGAGGGAGGAGGGGAAAGAGAGCACCAAGAACAAAAGCACCAUUACUACCAUCAACAAUUACCCUUUCUUCUCCAACAAGGUCCAAACCAACAUUUCUAUCAAAGAUUGGAUUUACAACAAAUACAAAACCCUCUAAACCCAUCAAAGAAACGAUCUUGCUUCUCUUCUUCUUCCUCUUCUUCUUCAACCUUCCCGGGGCAGAGCAUCGAAUAUGCAAGAAAAAUGGGAGAAAGCCACCAACAAGCAGCUGCAUCGUCGAGACUGGGGACAAGGAACACAGGAGGCGAGAUAGUGGAGGUCCAAGGAGGCCACAUUGUCCGCUCAACCGGAAGAAAAGACCGCCACAGCAAGGUCUGUACAGCAAAAGGCCCCAGAGACCGCCGCGUCCGGCUUUCAGCCCAUACUGCAAUCCAGUUCUACGACGUGCAGGACCGCCUUGGCUAUGACCGCCCCAGCAAGGCUGUUGAUUGGCUAAUCAAGAAAGCCAAGGCUGCCAUAGACGAACUCGCUGAGCUACCCGCGUGGCAUCCUACUACUGCAACCACCACCGCCACCACUCAAACUGGCAUCCAACAGGAUCAGUUAACUGAUCAGAGAGAUAAUCGCCUUCCCAUGGAGAAUCUUGCUGUCGUAGGCGGUUCUGGUAGUGUCAGUACAAGAACAGUAGUAGCAGCAGCAACCACAAUAGCAACAGCAGCAACAAUGGGAGCAGAUAUUCAAAAUAUGGAGCAGCAGCAACAUCUGGCAGAAAAUCCCAACAAUAGUUCCGGUUUUCUGCCACUAUCUCUAGACUCGGAUGCCAUUGCAGAUACAAUCAAAUCUUUCUUCCCAAUGGGUGCAUCGGCGGAGACAUCAUCCGCGUCAAUACAGUUUCAGAACUACCCACCAGAUUUGCUAUCAAGGACCAGUAGCCAGAACCAAGAUCUGCGGUUGUCACUACAGUCAUUCCAAGAGCCAAUUCUUUUGCAGCAGUCACAUCAUGGUCAUACUCAAAAUGAACAGCAAGUUUUGUUGUCUGGAACUGCCCAUGAUCUCGGAUUUGACGGUGGGUCUUCUGCUGGGUGGUCUGAGCACCACCAGCAUCACUCAGCAGAAAUCAGCAGAUUCCAGAGAAUGGUGGCCUGGAAUGCUGGUGGUGCAGCCGAAACUGGUAGUGGUGGAGCUAGUGGCAGUGGUGGAUUUAUCUUCAACCCGACACUGUCACAAACGGUAUUGCCGCCGCCACUGUCGCAGCCGUUUUUUGGCCAAAACCAGUUUUUUUCUCAGAGGGGAACCCUUCAGUCCAGUAUCACGCCUUCAGUUCGUGCUUGGAUAGAUCCAGGAAUCACCUCCAAUCACCAUCAACACAAUCAAAUCCCACAAAUCCAUCAGCAACAAUCUUCGAUAUCAGGCGGAGGAUUCACCGCCUCCGUUGCUGGAUUCUCUGGGUUUCGCGUUCCAGCACGAAUUCAGGGCGAAGAAGAGGAGCACGACGGCAUCCACAACAAGCUGUCCUCUGCUUCCUCUGAUUCUCGCCAUUGACACAGCAAAAAACCUCCCAAAAUCUCACAUAAUAGGUCUGCUACAAGACCAAUAUAGAGGGAAGAACAUGGAUUCAGGACCAGUUAAAAGGAGAGAUUUUGGUCCAUUUGAAAUGGUUCAAUGGCAAAAACCAUAGGAGGAGAAAGAUCUGAGUGGAUUUUUCAGCUUGAUUAUCAACAAUUGUGUUGGACAGUUUUUUAGCUUUGGUGCUCACCUUCCCAUUUGACAAAGCAGGCUUGGUUGCGAGUGUUAUUUUCAUCUCUGAUUUGCUCACUUCCACACUCUGGACUUUCUUUGGGUUAGUAGGCUGAGCAUGAAUCCGAAUCUCCCAUGGGCGAGCAGCGAUCCAACGCUCCUUCCAGCUCCAACCCCAAUUUUCCUUGCCAAUGCUGUAAUAUGCCUGGCCGAGAUACUGGCUAGGAUUGGCUCUCCACUGCAAAUCAAAAUGACUUACUCUGACCUUCAAUAGAAACAUAAGUUAAAAGAAUCAAGAGUGCAAAAACAUAUCACAGAUGGUGAACCUGAUGAGAGAAGGCAUAUGCCAUUGCUCGCUCACGCUUAACUGCUGCUUCUUCUCUAUGUUGGAUCCUGGAGAGGAUUUCUUCCAUGGUGUCAGAGCCUCCACACCAUUCUACCUAUGAGACAAGUUAAACCUACAAUUAAGAAAAUGAUGACUAGGGUUCCUAAAUUGUAGUAUUAAUAGUUCAGAAGCACUUCAUUGCUUUUCAAAUCAUACAUCGAAGGAACCUUUGCUUUCCCAAGGAAAAAACAAAAAAUUAUUGCCAAUGCACCUUGGUCCUAAAACAAGCUUAACAAUAUAAGUUGAGAACCCAUA